UGCAUAUCCAAAAAGCGGAGGAAAAGAAACCAACUGGGAUUGCCUUAGUAACGGCGAGUGAAGCGGCAAAAGCUCAAAUUUGAAAUCUGGUACCUUUGGUGCCCGAGUUGUAAUUUGUAGAGUACCACUUUGGGACUAUACUUUGCCUAUGUUCCUUGGAACAGGACGUCAUGGAGGGUGAGAAUCCCGUGUGGCGAGGGUGUUAGUUCUUUGUAAAGGGUGCUCGAAGAGUCGAGUUGUUUGGGAAUGCAGCUCUAAGUGGGUGGUAAAUUCCAUCUAAAGCUAAAUACAGGCGAGAGACCGAUAGCGAACAAGUACAGUGAUGGAAAGAUGAAAAGAACUUUGAAAAGAGAGUGAAAAAGUACGUGAAAUUGUUGAAAGGGAAGGGCAUUUGAUCAGACAUGGUGUUUUGCGCCCCUCGCUCCUUGUGGGUGGGGGACUCUCGCAGCUCACUGGGCCAGCAUCAGUUUUUGCGGCAGGACAAAACCUUGGGAAUGUAGCUGUGCGCCUCGGUGUACAGUGUUAUAGCUCUUGGGAAUACUGCCAGCGGGGACUGAGGACUGCGAUACUUGUUAUCUAGGAUGCUGGCAUAAUGGUUAUAUGCCGCCCGUCUUGAAACACGGACC
rnacentral:rRNA from 1 species